UAUCGCCCAAAUGUUUCAGUUCUCCUUUUUCUUGUGUUAGGCUGGUUCAAUCCAUGAAGAUAGAGUCCUGAAUCUUUGUCCUCAUUGAAAUUGUACAGAAUAAAGUGCCAUUAAAGAACGUCAGCGUCCUGUCUUCAGUGCACCAGAACACAACGCAGUAGUCGGCUACAUGCAGACCGCGCCGGCUUCAUUGGUGCCGUGACCCCGGAUCUCAUCGCUUCAGGGUGAUCGCCGGUGGUUGCUGUAACGAGUAGGAACUCUUCGGGACGUUGACAAACGGCAUUCAAACCAUUUGAGAGGUAGAGUUGGAGCGAGACAUCAGAGGUCAUGACCUCUGCUGUGUCUCCUCCAUCCUCAGAGCAG
ensembl:lncRNA